UUAAGUUCAGCGGGUAUCCCUACCUGAUUCGAGGUCAACCUUGUAAGUUGGGGGUUGCUGGCAGGCCUCCGCCUGACGCCCGGAAGCGAUGCAUUUUACUACGCUUAGGGGUCACACGGUGCCGCCACUGACUUUGAGACGCGCCCUGUAGGGCCCGCCCAAUACCACGCUAGGCGUGAGGGUUGUAAUGACGCUCGAAC
rnacentral:misc_RNA from 1 species